rnacentral:lncRNA from 1 species
GAGUUUUUAUAUAACAUUUCAGCAGCAUCGGGCAAUGAUCAGAACAAAUUUUGGACAGGUGAGUUACCUCCAAUCCAGGAAAGGUCUGUAGCAAUUCGUCAUUGCCUAGACAUCUAUCCAGUCGUUUGAAUAUACAGUCCUCCUCUGAUCUUCCAUUCCACCAAGUAAAAAUGCUUCCUUUAAAUCCCAAAUCUGUCAAA